GAUGAACGCUAGCGGGAGGCGUUAAUACAUGCAAGUCGAACGGCAGCGGGGUCGAACUUCGGUUAGACUGCCGGCGAGUGGCGCACGGGUGAGUAACGCGUACGCAACCUACCUUCAAGAGUGGGAUAGCCCCGGGAAACUGGGAUUAAUACCGCAUAGUAUUAUUAUUUGGCAUCGGAUAAUAAUUAAAGUUUUGGCGCUUGAAGAUGGGCGUGCGUGCUAUUAGCUAGUUGGUGAGGUAACGGCUCACCAAGGCGACGAUAGCUAGGGGGCGUGAGAGCGUGACCCCCACACCGGGUACUGAGACACGGACCCGACUCCUACGGGAGGCAGCAGUAAGGAAUAUUGGACAAUGGGCGCGAGCCUGAUCCAGCCAUCCCGCGUGCAGGAUGACGGCCCUAUGGGUUGUAAACUGCUUUUAUAAGGGAAGAAAUCUGAGGAUUUAUCCUCAGUUGACGGUACCUUAGGAAUAAGCACCGGCUAACUCCGUG
rnacentral:rRNA from 1 species